AGGGUUCUUGUUGGAACUGGGCGCGCAUGUUUUGAGACAUUAAGGCCACUGGCUUAUAGUCUACUGGCAGAGAUUGUUCACCAUGUUCGGGGAGACCUCACGUUAUCACAGCUAUCGCGGAUAAUUUAUCUGUUCUCAAGUAACAUGCAUGAUGCUUCAUUGUCACUAAGUAUUCAUACUACUUGUGCUCGGCUGAUGUUGAAUCUGGUUGAGCCAAUUUUUGAGAAAGGCAUUGACCAGCAUUCCAUGGAUGAAGCACGGAUUCUAUUGGGUCGCAUUUUGGAUGCUUUUGUCGGGAAAUUUAGUACUUUCAAGCGUACCAUUCCUCAG